CUACGGGAGGCAGCAGUGGGGAAUAUUGCACAAUGGGGGAAACCCUGAUGCAGCGACGCCGCGUGAGCGAAGAAGUAUUUCGGUAUGUAAAGCUCUAUCAGCAGGGAAGAAGAAAUGACGGUACCUGACUAAGAAGCCCCGGCUAACUACGUGCCAGCAGCCGCGGUAAUACGUAGGGGGCAAGCGUUAUCCGGAUUUACUGGGUGUAAAGGGAGCGUAGGCGGCAUGGCAAGUCUGAUGUGAAAACCCAGGGCUCAACCUUGGGACUGCAUUGGAAACUGUCAAGCUGGAGUGUCGGAGAGGUAAGCGGAAUUCCUAGUGUAGCGGUGAAAUGCGUAGAUAUUAGGAGGAACACCAGUGGCGAAGGCGGCUUACUGGACGAUGACUGACGCUGAGGCUCGAAAGCGUGGGGAGCAAACAGGAUUAGAAACCCUGGUAGUCC
rnacentral:rRNA from 1 species